rfam:Desulfitobacterium hafniense Y51 DNA, complete genome.
GGUCAAGCUACUAAGGGCGUACGGUGGAUGCCUAGGCGCUAAGAGUCGAAGAAGGACGCGGCGAGCGGCGAAACGCCACGGGGAGCAGUAAGCAUGCUUUGAUCCGUGGAUAUCCGAAUGGGGCAACCCAUCCAGAGUCAUAUCUGGAUAUCGUUAACUGAAUUCAUAGGUUAACGAAGACAACCCGGGGAACUGAAACAUCUAAGUACCCGGAGGAAGAGAAAGAAUCAUCGAUUCCCUGAGUAGCGGCGAGCGAAACGGGAACAGCCCAAACCAAUCCCUUCGGGGGUUGGGGUUGUAGGACCUUCUAUUAGGUCUGAAUCUCUAGUCGAAGAGGUCUGGAAAGGCCGGGCAAAGCAGGUAACACCCCUGUAGGCGAAAGAGAGACAGACUGUGAAGGGAUCCUGAGUACCGCGGGACACGUGAAACCCCGUGGGAAGCAGGGAGGACCACCUCCCAAGGCUAAAUACUCCUUAGCGACCGAUAGCGAACCAGUACCGUGAGGGAAAGGUGAAAAGCACCCCGGGAGGGGAGUGAAAGAGAACCUGAAACCGUACGCUUACAAGCAGUCAAAGCACCCAUGAGGUGUGAUGGCGUGCCUUUUGUAGAAUGAACCGGCGAGUUACGGUAUGUAGCGAGGUUAAGACGAGAAGUCGGAGCCGGAGCGAAAGCGAGUCUGAAGAGGGCGAAUAAGUUACAUGCUGUAGACCCGAAACCGUGUGAUCUACCCAUGGACAGGGUGAAGGUGGGGUAAAACCCACUGGAGGCCCGAACUCACUGUCGUUGAAAAGGCAGGGGAUGAGCUGUGGGUAGGGGAGAAAUUCCAAUCGAACACGGAGAUAGCUGGUUCUCCCCGAAAUAGCUUUAGGGCUAGCCUCAAUGGAUGAUUCUUGGCGGUAAAGCACUGAAUAGGCUAGGGGCCUUACCGGGUUACCGAACCUUAUCAAACUCAGAAUGCCAAGAAUUUUAGAUUGGGAGUCAGACUGUGGGGGAUAAGCUUCAUAGUCAAAAGGGAAACAGCCCAGACCAUCAGCUAAGGUCCCCAAGUAUACGCUAAGUGGAAAAGGAUGUGGAAUUGCAUAGACAACCAGGAUGUUGGCUUAGAAGCAGCCACCAUUUAAAGAGUGCGUAAUAGCUCACUGGUCGAGUGGUUCUGCGCCGAAAAUGUAACGGGGCUCAAGCGUAUCACCGAAGCUAUGGCUUGCACACGAUGUGUGCAGGGGUAGGGGAGCGUUCUAUUUACUGAGAAGUUCAACUGUGAGGUUGGGUGGAGUGAAUAGAAGUGAGAAUGCCGGUAUGAGUAUGCGAAAAGGUGAGUGAGAAUCUCACCCGCCGAAAACCUAAGGAUUCCUGGGGAAGGCUCGUCCGCCCAGGGUAAGUCGGGACCUAAGCCGAGGCGAAAAGCGUAGGCGAUGGACAACUGGUUGAGAUUCCAGUACCACUCAGGAGCGUUUGAGCGAUGGGGUGACACAGAAGGAUAGGUUAAGCGUGCCGUUGGUCGAGCACGCCCAAGCCCAUAGGAAGUGAGAUAGGCAAAUCCGUCUCGCGAGAAUUCUGAAGGGUGAUGGGGAGCGAAAACAGUAGCGAAGUAACUGACUCCAAGCUGUCAAGAAAAGCCUCUAGUGAGCAAGUGAGUGCCCGUACCGCAAACCGACACAGGUAGGUAAGGAGAGAAUCCUAAGGCGCGCGAGAAAACCCUCGUUAAGGAACUCGGCAAAAUGACCCCGUAACUUCGGGAGAAGGGGUGCUCUAUGCAAGUAGAGCCGCAGAGAAGAGGUCCAGGCGACUGUUUAUCAAAAACACAGGUUCCUGCCAAUCUGAAAAGAGAAGUAUAGGAGCUGACGCCUGCCCGGUGCUGGAAGGUUAAGAGGAGAGGUUAGCCGUAAGGCGAAGCUUUGAAUUGAAGCCCCAGUAAACGGCGGCCGUAACUAUAACGGUCCUAAGGUAGCGAAAUUCCUUGUCAGGUAAGUUCUGACCCGCACGAAAGGCGUAACGAUCUGGACACUGUCUCAACGAGGGACUCGGCGAAAUUGUAAUACCCGUGAAGAUGCGGGUUACCUGCGACAGGACAGAAAGACCCCAUGGAGCUUUACUGUAGCUUGACAUUGGACUUUGGUAUAAAAUGUACAGGAUAGGUGGGAGACUGAGAAGCUAGGGCGCCAGCCUUGGUGGAGUCGCCGGUGGGAUACCACUCUUUUUGUACUGAAGUUCUAACUUAGGCCCCUGAAUCGGGGUUGAGGACCGUGUCAGGUGGGCAGUUUGACUGGGGCGGUCGCCUCCUAAAGAGUAACGGAGGCGCCCAAAGGUUCCCUCAGCGCGGAUGGAAAUCGCGCGAAGAGUGUAAAGGCAGAAGGGAGCUUGACUGCGAGACCCACAAGUCGAGCAGGGACGAAAGUCGGGCUUAGUGAUCCGGUGGUACCGAGUGGAAGGGCCAUCGCUCAACGGAUAAAAGCUACCCUGGGGAUAACAGGCUUAUCUCCCCCAAGAGUCCAUAUCGACGGGGAGGUUUGGCACCUCGAUGUCGGCUCAUCGCAUCCUGGGGCUGUAGUAGGUCCCAAGGGUUGGGCUGUUCGCCCAUUAAAGCGGUACGUGAGCUGGGUUCAGAACGUCGUGAGACAGUUCGGUCCCUAUCCGUCGCAGGCGCAGGAAAUUUGAGAGGAACUGACCCUAGUACGAGAGGACCGGGUUGGACGGAUCACUGGUGUACCAGUUGUCUCGCCAGAGGCAGUGCUGGGUAGCUAUAUCCGGAGCGGAUAAGCGCUGAAAGCAUCUAAGCGCGAAACCGGCCUCAAGAUGAGAUUUCCCACAGAGUAAUCUGGUAAGACCCCUGAAAGAUGAUCAGGUAGAUAGGCCCGGAGUGGAAGUGCCGUGAGGUAUGGAGCUGACGGGUACUAAUCGGUCGAGGGCUUGACCUA